AAAUUGUUCUGUGAUUUUCUGAAUCUGUGAUUCAAGAUACACAAAGCUUGGAAGAGAUGAGAUUUUAAUCUUAGCUAAACCAUUGUUAUAAUCCCUCUCUGGAUAUGCUGGACGUAAGUUUUUUUCAGCCUCCAGAGGUCCAAGCAGACAAUCUGGACAGGUCAAAUUUUGUUUCCUUUACAUAUGCCCAGUGAAAUUAACCAAGAAGACUUGUAUUCCUGAACUUCUGUACAACAUUCCUCCAGAGAACCUCAGGAUGGCAGUCUAGGUUUUUGCUGAGAAUGAAAAAUCCUUUGCCAGCCUCAGAUAUGGAAUCUAGUACAGAGACCUCAGUAAUCAAUGUACAUUGGCUUCAUCCUUAAUUUCAGCAGCUUUUUCCUGAGGUCUUUCUGGACAUAAUUUCAAUACAGAUACACUCAAAGCAGUUUUGGGUUAUCAUUAUGGUUAAACUCCCAGUCAAACUAAAAUUAAUAUAAAAACUGCCCCGAUUGAGCUGAAAAGGUAUUGGAUUUUGCCUCUUCUGCCUGUUUCAUAUUUUUGUUAGGAGUUUACUGAAAAUAAAUCAUACCGAACUUAAUUAAAGUAGCAGCUUUUGACAUUUUCCAAAUGUGUGCUAUAAAAAGUUGAUAUAGAAAUGGUAGUGGAAAUGACAAGCCACAGCUUGAAACAGUGAUUGAGAACAUGGUGGGAAGGCAGGGCCAACCCAGGGGAUCUCAGGUGCAUGCAAUGCACCAGAGUAACCAUAAGGGGUGAAGCCAGGAUCCACCCCUUCCCAGAUCUCAUUUAAGGUUUGGCAGUGGAGGUAAGGCUAUCUUGCUGGAGAUCACUGUAUACCUGAGGCCUUCCAAGGGGGGUCCCAUGAACAAGCAGGGCCUUAUGAACAGUCUUCAAAAACAGCCUCUGCAACAAGAUACGUGCUUGGGCUGGAGAGAGUACCAGGAAAACCAACCUACAUAGUGCAUCUGGGGAUGUUUCUGAGAUGCCAGUAUGUUACAGCACUGAGAGCCAGGUCAGCCCUGGAAGAGAGCACCAGACUCCAGUCCCAGUAGGAUGAUGACUGAGCUCCCCUAGACCUCACUGAGGUUGGACACAGGA